UCGACAGCGAUUUACUUUCUUAGAAGUUGCGAGACGGUAUGUUUUUGAUUGCAAUUAUUGGAAGAUGACAGAUCCAUCUUUAAAAUGAUACCAGGUUCGGAAAAAUUGAUACGUCGGAAAGGCAAGAAAAAUGCUGUGAAAGUUGUCAGUUUUAUAAUGGGACCCUAUGGGAAUCGGAAUUAGUGUAAUAUAACCUUUAAAAAGCACAUUUACUGCAAUGUCAAGGUCACAUGGAUUCGUCUGCAAGCGAGACAAGUAGAAAAUGAAUUUUAAUGAAUGUUUUGAUGAUUUGGGUGCUAAAAUAGAUGAGAGAUGUCAAUAUUUUGGUCCAAAUGGAUGUUUUAGGUGGUUUUGGACUGUUCCGGAUGGGUGGGGGACCUGGUAUGGACAAGUAAGGGUAACAUUUCCAACAAAUCUUAAAUGUAAAUAUUAUUAUGUCCAUAGAUUGAAGUUUCAGGUGGAGAGCAAGAUGAAAAAUAUGCCAAAUUACAUGCAUGCAACCCAUUUAUGCCAUUUUUCUCUUUGUUUGUAGGCCUGACCGUUUGUCCUUGAGACAUAGAUGGUCAACAAUUUGCUAGCUGUCUUGCUCUGACUGGUGCACUGGACAUGAUUUCGAUAGCCAGCCAGACCAUGAUUGAGCUUAAGGAUUGUGCUGCGGAUGCAGCCUGUGCAGUUCCGAGAGAAAGUCACUGUCUUGGGCAAUGCGGUCUGGUAUCAGGUCUGGAUGAUCCUUGCCUGACUGCGGGUUUGUGUACACCUCAAUCCGACUCUGUCCUGAACAGAGGCCGCAGUGGUGCAGCGCUUGUGGACGAUCCAUCAACAUCCUGAAAGGUCAACACUACACCAAGCUGGGAAAAUUGAUCCUGAUAGUCAUCCCCAGGUAGUGGAAUGAAUGUACACUGAACUACAGAGGAAUCACACCCAAAUGACUUUCCUGCCACGACAUUAGUGUGGCCAGUCGCGUAGGAAUUCCUUAGCAAACGUGCUCUUUUGCAUGGUGACUGUGGGCAUUUUUGCAAAACUUACGCUUUCAACACUGGAUUUUAAAGGGAAUACUUAAUAAAAUGUUGCUAACAGGACUUAUUUAUAUGAGAGAGACUAUCUGGAUGCGCAUUAAGUGUCACUUUGUGUCGUAAGCUGUUGAAGGAGCGAUUUGCGCCUUUUUAAGUGUUAAUUUUGGGUAGCCGGCUUGUAU